rnacentral:rRNA from 1 species
GACAGAGGGUGCAAUCGUUGUUCGGAAUUACUGGGCGUAAAGCGGGUGUAGGCGGCCAUGCAAGUCGGAUGUGAAAGCCCCGGGCUCAACCCGGGAAGUGCACUCGAAACUGCUUGGCUUGAGUAUCGGAGAGGUUGGUGGAAUUCUCGGUGUAGAGGUGAAAUUCGUAGAUAUCGAGAGGAACACCGGUGGCGAAGGCAGCCAACUGGACGAAUACUGACGCUGAGACACGAAAGCGUGGGGAGCAAACAGG